UUUGAAACAUUAGUGUUUUAAUCUGAUUACCGGUUCAUGAGGCAAUGAUACUGAAUUCAAACCCACCAUGUGGUAGUGGAAAAAACUGGACAGAACUAGGUUUAGAUCCCAGCUUUGCCACUUAUUGGCUACAUAGUAAGGGCAAAUGAAUUCACAUCUUUGUUCCUCUAUUUCUUCAUUCAUAAAUGGGAAUAUGAAUGCUUUUCUUAGAAGACUGUGGUGAAGAUUAAAUGACACAAUGUAUAACAUUUGCAUAAAAUUCUCCACUCAUGGUAUAAUUUCAAUAACUUUAUCUCUUCUCCCCUCUUCUUUAUCUCAUAAUGACAAAAACUAUUCAACAAAUGACUGGAAAAUUAUAUAUGCAAAUGAGACUUCCAAAAAUAAAAUUAAAUGGUAAGUGAUCCUGGAGGACCUGUAACAAAUAACCUUACAUAGCAAAAACGAACAAAACCUAACCUGCU
rnacentral:lncRNA from 10 species